AGUUUGCCAUGAUGAAAUGCAUGGUGAGUCCGUGUUUCAGCCGAUCACCCUGGUCAAACACAUGCUCUGAGCAGACU
rnacentral:ncRNA from 12 species